UUGUGUAGCCAAUCUUUCUUGUCAAAGACUGAUCUCAUCUGAUCUCAGACUCUAAGCAGGGCUGAGCCUGGUUAUUACUUGGACUGGAGACCACUGGGAAUUACAGGGGCCACAGU
rnacentral:rRNA from 1 species